GUCACUCAAUUUUCUCUUAGUCUCUAAACUAAUCUCUCUCAAAAUGUUACUCCACCAAAAUAUGAGAAACCCAUUGUUCAUGACCAUCACCUUCACAAUAAUUCUUGAAAUAGCCCUACUGCCUAGAAACGCAUUAGGUCAAAAUUGUGGGUUAAUUAAUGGAAUAGCCCUGCUGCCCAGAAACGCAUCAGGUCAAAAUUGUGGGUGUAAAUCAGAUGAAUGUUGUAGCGAAUUUGGGUAUUGUGGGAAGGAUAAAGAGUACUGUGGCCCUGGAUGCCAAUCGGGCCCGUGUUCCCCAACCCAUAGCAGUGGUGUUUCUGUGCCUGAUAUUGUCACUCAAGAUUUCUUUAAUGCUAUAAUUAAUCAAGCUCCAGCAAAUUGUCCUGGCAAGAACUUCUAUUCAAGAAAUUCAUUUCUUGAAGCUCUUAAAUCAUAUUCUAAUUUUGGACAAGUUGGUUCUAGCAAUGAUUCUAAACGUGAGAUUGCAGCUUUUUUCGCGCAUGCCACCGAUGUGACUGGAUGUAAGUUUCUUCAUUUUUCUUUUUCUGCUUUGAAUUUUGCCUACGAUGCAUGGAAACUCCUAGGCAUGAUUGUCUCUGUGUUUCGGAAACGUUUCUCCGCAUCAGUUUUCCUGUAUAAAAUACCGUUUUUUCAUGUAAAAUUGUAUUAUAAACGUGGUUUCCCAUAUCGUUCCUCGUUACAAGUUUCCUCUUUUCGGUUUCGGUGCAACGUAGAAUUAAGAGAAAUUACUGAGAAAAUUAAAUAUACUUAAAAACUUAAAUAAACAAUAAUUUUCACAAGCUACUAAUAUAUUUCAAUAAUAAUAUUAAAAUUAAAUGUCUUAACAUGAUCAUCAUUGUCAUCAUGAUCACAAUCAUAAUCAAUAAUGAAAAAUUAAAUUUUCUAAUAAGAAAGACACCUAGUAAAAUUAAAAAAAGAAAAUAUAUAUAUAUAUAUAUAUAUAUAUAUAUAGUUACAAUAAAUUACAAUAUAUUCCAAUAGCGACAAUUCCAAAAAGCAAUUAUUUAAAGUCAAUGUCUACUAAAUAUGUAAAGAAUUUAGUAUUUAUAAAUCAAAUCAAAUUAGCUAAAUAAUUCAUAAUUACACACAUAUAUUAUUUAAGGGUCGGGUCUACGGGUUUAUCUAAUGAACCCGUAACUUAACCCAAUCCGUGAAUUAUAAAGAUGACUCGUUCAAUCCAAUCCAUUAUAUCUUCAAACCCAUCGAGUUGAGUUGGAUUGGAUUUGACUGCUCGGGUAACAGGUCAUUUACGGCCUUAUCCCCACGUGAAUAGGAAAUUGAAAGCUGCAUUUAAUAAAAUUAAAAAUUGAGUAUAUAAGUGCUAGAUAACAUAAAUGUUUAAAUUUAUAAAUUGUAAACUUAUUAUUAUUUCUUUGGAAAUAAUUGGAAAUUUAUUUAAAGAUCCAAUAAGUUCAUAAAUUCAUUGCAAGUUUUUAAGCUAAAAUUCUUAACUUAUCAUUUUAAGUAGUAGUGUAUUUGAGCAUUUAAUGUUUUAACUUCCAUUUAUUUAAAGUGUUUGAUAGUCUAAGUUUUAUAUUACGGUUUAAAAUUUGAGAUGUCUGACAAAAUGCUAGUAAAAAUCUUGUAACUGCUAAAACAAUUAACAACUAUUAAAAUAAUUAAUUUUGUUAAUUAUCACGACACAAAUAUUGGAAAAUUUAAUUUUAAGUAUUCGUGUUACCAAAUACCGUCUUAAUUAAACUCUAUGUGCAUAAAAUAAACCAAUAAUAAUAUAAUAAUAAAAUUAUAAAUUAUACCUUUCAUUUUCUGAUUUUAAUACUACCACUUAAAAGUCACCAUAAAUACCUAACUUUAUCACUAUAAAUACCUCACUCUACCUCCACCUUCUAUAACAACAACCACAAGAACAAUAGACUUGACUCCCUUAAUUUGUUACUCUUCAAUCCAAAAAUGGCUGUACUUGGAAAAACUGUGCUUGCCAUCAGUCUAUCCAUUGUUAUAAUUGCAACAAUGGAAAAAAACGUUUCAGUGUUUGCUCAAAAUGUGGGAGAUAUUGUUACUGCUGAUUUCUUUAAUGCGAUAAUCAAUCAAGCUGGAGCUGAUUGUCCUGGCAAGAAUUUCUAUACUAGAGAUGCAUUUCUUAAUGCUCUCAAUUCAUUUCCUGACUUUGGUAAGCUUGGAGGUGAUGAUUCCAAGCGUGAGAUUGCUGCUUUUUUUGCUCAUGUUACUCAUGAGACUGGACGUAAGAUCUCUUUCUUUCUUAUUUUUAUUUCUGUAUUUAGAUUUUCCUAGAAAUAUAGAAUUCUAUGCCAACCAAAUACUAGAAUCUUACUUUUUUAAAUCAUUUCUCCGUACGGAGACUUCAUACCUUGAAAGAAUGUGAGUGCCUCUUUUCCUGAAUCUCAGGUGGGAAAUUGAUCUCGCAUUUAGUCAGCAAUUGUCUAAAUUUGAAAAGUUAAUGAACUUCACUUUAUCCUGUCCAUUAAAAGUGUGCUAUAUAUUUAUUAAAUUUGAUUAUUAUUUUAAAAUUAAUAAAUAGUAUACUCAAAUAGAAAUAUCGAAUAUUACCUUUUUAAAUCAUGUCUUGUGUUGGAGCCCCCGAUCUCGAUGGUAUGUGAGUGCUCCUUCUCCUCAGUUCCACAUGAGAAAUUAACCUCCCAUUUAGUCAAUAAUUGAUUAAGUGUAAAGAUAUGUAAAACCACCAAUCGAAACGAAAGAAACGAAAAUCAAACUUACCCAUUUCAUUUUGGUUUGAUUCAGUCAACUGUUCAAAAAAAGAUUUGAUUUAUCAGUCAGUCGAUUUGAAUAGAAUUUGUUGUUUGGUUUGAGGCAAUUUCAUAGAAAUUCAUCGGUUGAGUUUAAAACCAAACCAAUAUGGCAAAAAUCGACCAAAAUCGAUUGAGUUAGUUCUGUCAAAUAUUAAUUUCAGUUCGAUCUGUCAUUAAAGAACUUCAGUUUGCAUUUUUUUUAUCUUAGUUCGAUUCAGUUCAAAUCGAACUGACCAUUUGUUCACCUUUCCUAGGUGUGGAAGUUUAAUGAAGUUCUCUUUAUCCUUGUCUACCAAAAGUAUGCUGCAUAUUUGUAUCCAAUUUGAUUAUUAUUUUAAAAUUAAAAACAAUAUAUUCUAAUUGAUCGUGGAUUAAACAGAACAUUUUGGAUGAUAAAUUUUUCAGAUUUCUGCUACAUAGAAAAGGUAAACGGUGCUUCCCAAAACUACUGCGACGAAUCAUACACACAAUAUCCAUGUGCCCCAGGAAAGAAAUAUUUCAGCCGCGGACCGAUUCAACUAACCUGGAACUACAACUAUGGUGGAGCUGGUCAAAGCCUUAACAUUGACUUGUUAAACUCUCCUGAAACUGUUGCAAAUGAUGCUGUUGUGUCGUUUGAGACAGCUCUCUGGUUUUGGAUGACCAAUGUACGCCCUGUCGUAACGCAAGGUUUCGGAGCCACCAUUAGAGCCAUGAAUGGUGCAAUUGAAUGUAAUAGUGGAAAUCCUCAAGUAGUUCAGGCUCGGAUUGGCUAUUACACUGAUUAUUGCAACAAGAUUGGAGUUGCACCUGGGGAUAAUCUGAGUUGCUAAUUAAAAUUUAGUUCUUGUUUAAUUUAAUAAAUAGGGUUGCUAAAUAAGUAAUGUACUCCUGUAAUUCAUUAUCUAUCCUUGUUUGAGUUGCAGAAAUAAUUAGAAGCUAGUUCAUCCUUGGAGAUUAUGUAAACUAGCUUCAAUGAAAUAAAAUAAUCUUUAUCGUUAUAACUAGUUUAUUUUUUACAUUUUGAAGACCUAAUGAAACGGAAUAACAUUAAUGAUAACUUUUGUACUAAAGAUGACUCAACUCGAGACUUUUCACUUCUCAUAUCUAUUACAAGACGCAGGAAGACCAAUCAAAUAACAACUAUAAUUGACAAUAAUAUUUCACGUUGGGUCUGUUCGACAAAAUUAGCUGUUUUGAUAGCUUUUCAUAAACAUUAAAAACUAAACGUUACAUUAGUUAGCUUUUUAUAAAACGUUACCUUAACAUUUAAAAGUUAGUUUAAAUGCUAUGUUAAUAUUUAAUAUCAGCUUUUUAAAUAGCUUUUAGUGUUUUGACCGGUCAAAACACUAAAGGCUAUUAAAAAGCUAACCAUGUUGAGAUAAUUUAGAGCUUCCAUUAGCUUUUUCUCAUUGCACAAAACAUCAAUUUGGAUUAUAUUGACAAGCAUGUGGGAAGUUUUUUUUUUUUUUUUUUUUUUAUAAAAAAAAAUUGCAAAAUCAGAAAAUCUAACGAAGAAAAGACCUUGGAAUGUUGUGAGGUUUCUUAUUCUUGAAAUGUAUAGGAAAAGGAUCAAACAAGAAUUAGUUUACCUUGACGAUGUUCAAUUGCCGUGGGGAAAAAAAAAAAGACAGAGAAAAAAAGAAAAAUCUUUGCAAUGGGUAAUUUGCUAGUCUUUUCCAAUCUAUCCGUAAAAACCAAACUUGUCUUUUUUCUUGGUUGACACGUGACAUUACAUAUUUAAUUUGACUUAUUGUUAUAUCUUUAGAACAUAAAUUAAAAAAAAAAAAAAAAGAUAGGAUCACUUUUUAUCAGAAUGGUAUUAUCAUAUUUUAUAUAUUAAGUAUAUGAAAUUUAUUAUUAAUUUAGAGUAUAUAUAUGUAUCAUCUAACCUAAUAAUAAGUAGUAAUAAUUUUUGAAUACGUAAAUAGAUUUACUGAUUAAUGACAAUUAAUAGAUCUUACGAUUGAAUUCUCUCAACUAUAAGAGUUUUCUAAUUUGACAUUAAGAAAGAGUCACCGUUCUUAUGUAGUUUAUAGUACUAUUUUGGUCUAUUAAAUCUCUCGAUGAAUAAUGAAAUAUAGUUUGUUUAAUAACAGCUAUAAUAGUAUGAUGGAUUAAUUUUUGCACAUUAUAAUUAGUUAUUUUAAUUUAUUAAAUGUAUGUAAAUUGAAUUAAAUAAUACAUUUCAUCCACACUGGAAAAAAAAUAUAUAUAUUUCCAUUUUACUUAGGCUACAAGAUUCAUAUUUUAAAUUUCUAGGCAUGAAAAUUUUAGUAAUUGAUUGAACUUUAGUGUAACUCAUGAGCAAAUAAUAUUAUUCAUGACAAUUAUAUAUAUAUAUAUAUAUAUAUUCUUAUCUUUUGAUAUUUAAUGAUUUAGACAUUAGACUUUGUAACUCUUUAAUGAUGACUUGCUUACGUUUGGACACAUCAAUCAAACCAAACUUUAACGGUCCCCAAAGACUAUAAAUUUUAAAAUUUAAUUUUUUAAGAUCAAAAAAUUGAAAAUAACGAUUUAAAUUUAUUAUCAGAUUGUAUAUAUAUUUAUUAUUAGAUUAUGUUUUGGUAUAUAAUUAUUUAUUUUAAAUUGAUUCAUAAAACUUAAUUAUUUAUAUAUCACUUAAUAAAAAUCAGUCAAAAAUUUUAUUUGAAUUUUUAUUAUCUUUGAAAAUGGACCUUAAUAAUUGCUUAGACAUGAAAGGUUUCUGAGUCCACACUUUUAAAAUUUUUUUUAAAAAAAAUCUUAUUUUUUUAUUGAUUUAAUUAAUAAAACCACACGUAUACCAGACGUAGGCAAUGAACUUUUAAAAGCAAUUAAUCACUGAAUUAUUAUAAAUUAAUCAUUUAGUAAUACCGUUAGUUUGUGCUUAUAGGUGUUGACGUGGCAUGAAACACGAUGAAAUAUUACAUAAUUUUAUACAUUUUUUGCAUUUUUUUUUAAAAAAAUGGAAAAUCAGACAAUAUAAUGAGCAUUCGUUAAAAGAAUUUGGAAUGUUGUGAGGUUUCCCCUUCUUAAAAUAUAUAGGAAAAGCGAGAAAAUAAUUUAGCGACUGAAUUAAUAAAAAAGAAUAUAAUAAUUUUUAAAAAAGCGAGAAAAUUAAUUAUAUUAUAUAUGAUUGACAAGUGCAUGAUAAUUUUAAAUUUAAUUGAUAAAGCUUAUUUAUAUAGCAUCUAAUAAAAUCUCAAUCAAAAUAAAAUUUACUGAAAAUAAUAAGUAAAAAAUUUUACUUGAAAUUUUUACCAUCUUGAAAUUAGUUUCUUAAUUAUUUGAAAUUCGAGGCAAUGAUACAAUCUUAAAAUUUAUGAUAAAUUUCAGUGAUUAGGAGAGGAAUUGAAAUUAUUAUAACCUAAAAAUAUACAGAAUUAUAGAAUGCAUGAGUAUUACGAGUGGUAAGAUAUAAUUGAAUUAUGGAUAAUUAAGCUAAAACUUUGAAAAUAAAUUUUAACGAGGAAUUGAAUUAAACAAUUUUAUGAUAUAAAAAUUUCAACUUCUAUACUAAUAUUUAAAAAUAUAAUAACUCCUAAAUUUUCAAUUACCAAAUAACAUGAGUACGCAACCACUGGUCUAUGCUCAUGGGUAGUCUUUCAACUUUCGUAACACUAUAAAAUAACCACUGCAUAUCUUAUUGGAAUGCAUCUGUCACUCAAUUUUCUCUUAGUCUCUAAACUAAUCUCUCUCAAAAUGUUACUCCACCAAAAUAUGAGAAACCCAUUGUUCAUGACCAUCACCUUCACAAUAAUUCUUGGAAUAGCCCUACUGCCCAGAAACGCAUUAGGUCAAAAUUGGGGGUGUAAACCAGAUGAAUGUUGUAGCGAAUUUGGGUAUUGUGGGAAGGAUAAAGAGUACUGUGGCCCUGGAUGCCAAUCGGGCCCGUGUUCCCCAACCCCUAGUGAAAAUGGACCUUAAUAAUUGCUUAGACAUGAAAGGUUUCUGAGUCCACACUUUUAAAAUUUUUUUUAAAAAAAAUCUUAUUUUUUUAUUGAUUUAAUUAAUAAAACCACACGUAUACCAGACGUAGGCAAUGAACUUUUAAAAGCAAUUAAUCACUGAAUUAUUAUAAAUUAAUCAUUUAGUAAUACCGUUAGUUUGUGCUUAUAGGUGUUGACGUGGCAUGAAACACGAUGAAAUAUUACAUAAUUUUAUACAUUUUUUGCAUUUUUUUUUAAAAAAAUGGAAAAUCAGACAAUAUAAUGAGCAUUCGUUAAAAGAAUUUGGAAUGUUGUGAGGUUUCCCCUUCUUAAAAUAUAUAGGAAAAGCGAGAAAAUAAUUUAGCGACUGAAUUAAUAAAAAAGAAUAUAAUAAUUUUUAAAAAAGCGAGAAAAUUAAUUAUAUUAUAUAUGAUUGACAAGUGCAUGAUAAUUUUAAAUUUAAUUGAUAAAGCUUAUUUAUAUAGCAUCUAAUAAAAUCUCAAUCAAAAUAAAAUUUACUGAAAAUAAUAAGUAAAAAAUUUUACUUGAAAUUUUUACCAUCUUGAAAUUAGUUUCUUAAUUAUUUGAAAUUCGAGGCAAUGAUACAAUCUUAAAAUUUAUGAUAAAUUUCAGUGAUUAGGAGAGGAAUUGAAAUUAUUAUAACCUAAAAAUAUACAGAAUUAUAGAAUGCAUGAGUAUUACGAGUGGUAAGAUAUAAUUGAAUUAUGGAUAAUUAAGCUAAAACUUUGAAAAUAAAUUUUAACGAGGAAUUGAAUUAAACAAUUUUAUGAUAUAAAAAUUUCAACUUCUAUACUAAUAUUUAAAAAUAUAAUAACUCCUAAAUUUUCAAUUACCAAAUAACAUGAGUACGCAACCACUGGUCUAUGCUCAUGGGUAGUCUUUCAACUUUCGUAACACUAUAAAAUAACCACUGCAUAUCUUAUUGGAAUGCAUCUGUCACUCAAUUUUCUCUUAGUCUCUAAACUAAUCUCUCUCAAAAUGUUACUCCACCAAAAUAUGAGAAACCCAUUGUUCAUGACCAUCACCUUCACAAUAAUUCUUGGAAUAGCCCUACUGCCCAGAAACGCAUUAGGUCAAAAUUGGGGGUGUAAACCAGAUGAAUGUUGUAGCGAAUUUGGGUAUUGUGGGAAGGAUAAAGAGUACUGUGGC
rnacentral:lncRNA from 1 species